CCUACGGGUGGCUGCAGUGGGGAAUAUUGCACAAUGGGCGCAAGCCUGAUGCAGCCAUGCCGCGUGUGUGAAGAAGGCCUUCGGGUUGUAAAGCACUUUCAGCGGGGAGGAAGGCGGUGAGGUUAAUAACCUCAUCGAUUGACGUUACCCGCAGAAGAAGCACCGGCUAACUCCGUGCCAGCAGCCGCGGUAAUACGGAGGGUGCAAGCGUUAAUCGGAAUUACUGGGCGUAAAGCUCACGCAGGCGGUCUGUCAAGUCGGAUGUGAAAUCCCCGGGCUCAACCUGGGAACUGCAUUCGAAACUGGCAGGCUAGAGUCUUGUAGAGGGGGGUAGAAUUCCAGGUGUAGCGGUGAAAUGCGUAGAGAUCUGGAGGAAUACCGGUGGCGAAGGCGGCCCCCUGGACAAAGACUGACGCUCAGGUGCGAAAGCGUGGGGAGCAAACAGGAUUAGAUACCCGUGUAGUC
rnacentral:rRNA from 1 species